rnacentral:rRNA from 1 species
CCUACGGGGGGCAGCAGUCGGGAAUAUUGCGCAAUGGAGGAAACUCUGACGCAGUGACGCCGCGUGCAGGAAGAAGGUUCUCGGAUUGUAAACUGCUUUAGACAGGGAAGAAAAAAGACAGUAUCGGUAGAAUAAGCUCCGGCUAACUAGGGGCCAGCAGCCGCGGUAAUACGUAGGGAGCAAGCGUUAUCCGGAUUUAUUGGGUGUAAAGGGUGCGUAGACGGAGAAGCAAGUUAGUUGUGAAAUCCCUCGGCUUAACUGAGGAACUGCAACUAAAACUACUCGCCUUGAGUACUGGAGGGGAAAGUGGAAUUCCUGGUGUAGCAGUGAAAUGCGUAGAUAUUGGGAGGAACACCAGUGGCGAAGGCGACUUUCUGGACAGUAACUGACGUUGAGGCACGAAGGUGUGGGGAGCGAACGGGAUUAGAUACCCGAGUAGUC